GAUGAGCUUAAAAGUUUUAUUAAUUUUUUUUGUUACACAUUUUCAGUUUAGAAACGAACAAACAAAUGAGAGACAAUAUAGAAAGCAAAGAUCAACAACCUGGCAACAGUCUCUAUCAACGUGUUGGUGA
rnacentral:lncRNA from 1 species